GAUGAAGAAAACAGAGAAAUCACUGUGACACAAGGAGGAAUCUAUAAGUGUGAAGGAGAGAGAGGAAAUCCUUCAUUCUACAGUCAUUCAAGCCAAGAGAAAACCAUUGAAAUAAUGUUUUCCAACAAGGUUUUUGUGACUCGACAACCAAACUGGCCUCAGAUCUUCAGUGGUGAGUCGAUCACUCUGACAUGUGAGGUCCAGGGAGGAGAAACCACUGAGUGGACGUGUGACUGGAAGAGAUCUGGGUCAAUAAUACAGAGGACAGACAGUAAAGACUGGACUUUCACUGUCUCUGAGUCCAGCAGUGGCGAUUAUAUGUGUCAGUGUAGAAGCAGAGAUGAUGGGUUUUCUUCAACACAGUGGAGUGAAACCUUGACACUGUCUAUAUCAGGAGCUGAACCUGAAGCCAAACUGACAGCAGGUUCAACAACCAUACCAGUAGGGGGCAGUGUGACACUGAGCUGCUCAGUGGAGCCCUCUGCUGGAUGGAAGUACAGAUGGUUCAGGCGGACCAC